UACGUAGGGUGCGAGCGUUAAUCGGAAUUACUGGGCGUAAAGUGUGCGCAGGCGGCCGAGCAAGUCGAGUGUGAAAGCCCCGAGCUUAACUUGGGAACUGCGCUCGAAACUACUUGGCUAGAGUGUGGCAGAGGGAGGCGGAAUUCCACGUGUAGCGGUGAAAUGCGUAGAGAUGUGGAGGAACACCGAUGGCGAAGGCAGCCUCCUGGGCCAACACUGACGCUCAUGCACGAAAGCGUGGGGAGCAAACAGG
rnacentral:rRNA from 1 species